AACGAACGCUGGCGGCAUGCCUAACACAUGCAAGUCGAACGAGACCUUCGGGUCUAGUGGCGCACGGGGGCGUAACGCGUGGGAACCUGCCCUUAGGUUCGGAAUAACUCCCCGAAAGGGGUGCUAAUACCGGAUAAUGUCUUCGGACCAAAGAUUUAUCGCCUUUGGAUGGGCCCGCGUUGGAUUAGCUAGUUGGUAGGGUAAAAGCCUCCCACGGCGACGAUCCAUAGCUGGGCUGAGAGGAAGAUCAGCCACACUGGGACUGAGACACGGCCCAGACUCCUACGGGAGGCAGGAGUGGGGAAUAUUGGACAAUGGGCGAAAGCCUGAUCCAGCAAUGCCGGGUGAGUGAUGAAGGCCUUAGGGUUGUAAAGCUCUUUUACCCGGGAUGAUAAUGACAGUACCGGGAGAAUAAGCUCCGGCUAACUCCGUG
rnacentral:rRNA from 1 species